AUGGUCUGCCCCUGGCCCUGCUGGCGUCCUCUUGCUGCUGUUGUAAUUCGUCUCCACCCUGUCCAUGGACGCCGACUUCGCCGGCAUUGCUGCGACGGCGAUGGGCUCCACGGGCCUGGGCACGCCGGGCGGCGUGCUGCACCGGAUGAGCGCCCAGUUGACACCCUCGAAGAAGGGGUGCUGCUUGAUCUCGGCCGCUCCCCUCUUCACGCCGAGCCGGCCCUGGGGCUCCUUGGCCAGCAGGCCCCUGAUGAGGUCCUUGCUGGCGCCGCUCGUCGGCGGGCCGCCCUCCGGGAACCGGAGCUGCUGGCCGACGACGUUGAACAGCGUGGCCCGGUUCGUCUGCCCCUUGAACGGCGUCUUGCCGUACAUGAGCUCGUGCAGGAACACGCCGAACGUCCACCAGUCCACCGCGCUGCCGUGGCCCUCCCCCUUGAUGAUCUCCGGCGCCAGGUACUCGUGCGUGCCCACGAACGACAUCGACCGCGCGCCGGUCGGCUCCACGACGAGCUCCGGCAUGGCGCCCUGCUGCUGGUCGCCGCUCUUCGAUCUGGAGGCCGCGGAGGCGCUCUUCUUGCUGCUCCGGCCGCCGAAGAGCUUGGGCAUGAAGCACGUGGGCUGGAUGCAGGCGCCGCCGUUGGGGCCGGAGGCGCUGCAGGGCAGCGACGGCCGGACCAGCGUCGUCGAGGCGGCGCAGCGGAGGGAGAGGUCGAAGUCGGAGAGCAUGACGUGGCCGUCGUCCCUGACGAGCACGUUCUCCGGCUUCAGGUCCCGGUACACCACCCCGAGCAUGUGCAGGUACUCCAGCGCAAGGAGCACCUCGGCGGCAUAGAACCUGAGCGAACGAGCGAAGGAGAAUGUCACAUGCUUGGAACGCGAAUUUGGUCCACAGAUCAGCUGCAAGAUGCAUCGAAACCGUACCUUGCGGCGUGCUCGGGGAAGAGCUUGCCGGGCUGGCGCUGGCGGAGGGCGUGGAGGUCGCCGCCGGGGCAGAACUCCAUGACGAGGCAGGCGAACUUGUCGGUCUCGAAGUGGGCGUAG
rnacentral:rRNA from 1 species